ACGAGCCCGAUCGUGGGGGAUAACGAAGCGAAAGCUUUGCUAAUACCGCAUACGAUCUACGGAUGAAAGCAGGGGACCGCAAGGCCUUGCGCGAACGGAGCGGCCGAUGGCAGAUUAGGUAGUUGGUGGGAUAAAAGCUUACCAAGCCGACGAUCUGUAGCUGGUCUGAGAGGACGACCAGCCACACUGGGACUGAGACACGGCCCAG
rnacentral:rRNA from 1 species